CAUGUUUUUUUUAAUUACAGACAGUAUGCCUGUUACUGCUAGCAUGUAAGAAGGUUAUAUUGAAGAUCGAUGCUGUCAUUUGAAUAGAUUGUACUUCCAUACCAGCUGCAGUGAGAUGCCAUCUCAGGACUGAGGACAUGAGAUAAUAUAAGGUAAUGGCCUUUGACAUGCUGUAGUAGGGCUCUACCCCAUAACAGUUAACCCACUCAUUCAAUUGCUUCCUUGAAAGGCAGCAGCCACCACUGCAUGAAGAAUACCUACAAUGCAUUUCAGCCCAGGCAUUAAUAGGUA